UACGGAGGGUGCAAGCGUUAUCCGGAUUUAUUGGGCUUAAAGGGUCCGUAGGCGGCUCUGUAAGUCAGUGGUGAAAUCUCAUAGCUUAACUAUGAAACUGCCAUUGAUACUGCAGGUCUUGAGUAAGGUAGAAGUGGCUGGAAUAAGUAGUGUAGCGGUGAAAUGCAUAGAUAUUACUUAGAACACCAAUUGCGAAGGCAGGUCACUAUGUCUUAACUGACGCUGAUGGACGAAAGCGUGGGGAGCGAACAGG
rnacentral:rRNA from 1 species